GAUGAGAGAGAGAGAGAGAGAGAGAGAGAGUGGAGGCCCAGGUGACUACACAAAGAUAAACACACUCGUAAACAGACAAAAAAAAAAAAAAAAAAAAGAAAAGAAAAAAGAAAAAAAAAAGAAUCUUGAGGCGGGCUAUGAAAAAUAAAGGGAGUGUUUGUAUGGGUGGCGUGCUUUUAAAGGGCGAAAAAAUGAACUUGCAUUCUUUAAAAAGGCAGAAAGAAUGGAGAAAAAAAAAUACACUUUGGAAUUAAAAGUUAUGUGACUGAAUAGGUGGAUGUGGUAAUGUGGUUUGCUAGUGGAGGAUUGUGUGGAGAAAUAGGCUAAAUUAGUUUUUUCAGAUGUACAAGUGGAAAGAAAGGUUGAAAAUUGUUGUUUUGUUUGGCUGCGUGGACAUGGAGCGAGAAGAGAGCAAGAAUACGGUUGAGCAGUUAGAUUUAAGUGGAGUAAUGGAGUAAAGGGUUAAAUUAGAUAGUUCUAUACAUAUACAAGUGGAAAAAAAAACGUUGAAAAAUUGCUGUUUUUAUUUGGUUACGUGGAAAAAGAUUGAGAAGAGGGUAAGGAUGAGGUCUGGCUGUUGGAUUUAGGUGUGAGUAAUGGAGUAAAGGGUUAAUUAGAUCGCUUCCCAGGUACACAGGUGGAAAGUCAGGAAAAAUUGUUGUUCUGAUAUGAUUAUGUGUAAAAAGAACAAUUAGAGGAUACGGUUGUGACUGUGGUAAUGUGGUUUGCUUGUGGAGGCUUGUGUGCUUGGGCUGUUGGAUGGGUGGAUGAACUAGUUAAUUAGAUAGUUUGUUUUUUUCAGUUAUACAAGUGGAAAGAAAUGUUAUAAAUUGUUGUUCGAAAUUUACCUCAUGGAAAGAGAGUGUGAAGAGGGUAAGGAUGCGGUUGGGGUGGUGGAUAGGUGGAGUAAUGGGUUAAUCAGGCUGUUUUCCAGGUACACAGGUGGGAGACAGGGUGAAACUUGGUCUGAUAUAAUGACAUGAAAAUAGCUUGAGGAGAAAAGUGUGAAGUGUUCGUAAUUAAGACAGCUUUGUGAGGAGGAAAGGAAAGUUAACUGAGUGUUUUUGGUGUGAUUGUGUGAAAAUACCGGAAGUUAGAGAGAGAAAAUAGUCUUUAUAAUUAAAUAGAGAGGAAGAAUGAAAAGUGCGUGCUUAUGUAAGUGAUAAAGUGUUUUAUUUUUGCUGAAAGAGUUAUAUUUAUAUAGUUAAUUCAAGAAAAGCCUUAUUAUACAACACUAUAAGAGAAACUUAGAGCUUACUAAAGGCGACACAGCCAGAAAAGUUAGUUUAUUAAAAAUAUUCAUUAAACGAAAAAAAAAAGUCCACGCACAAGAAUCAUUAGGUAGUUAACGUAGGAAAAGUGAAUAAACAAAGACAAUAUAUUAUUAAAAGAAGAAGUUAUUAUAUAGUUACGAUAGAAAGCAAGAAUGUUAAGGAGAAAAGACGAUUCUGUAACUGAAGCAGAGCACAAAGAAGAGAAUAGUUACUGUGUAGUUAGCAAAGGAGAGGAAAGACUAUCAGAUAGCAAGACAAAGAGAAAGAUAAUAAGAAAAAUAUUUACUGCGUAGUUAGCGAAGGAAAAAGAAAGGCAAUCACAUAGUUAGAGAUAGUUAAGGCAGAAGACAAAGGUGCGAGGAAAAAAACAGUUAUUGCUCAGGUGGCGAAGGAGAGGAACAACAAUUAGUAGGUAGUUAGGACAAGAAGACAAGACGCAUUUAUGUAGUAAAGUUAGAGGACAAGUGGGCAUUUUUUUUUUUGUUUAGUUCAGUGGGCCUUUUUCGUUCAUCAGGCUUUUUUUUUCUUAUUCCCAGAGUCUUUUUUUGAUCACAGCCUUUUUUCUUCCAUAAGUGUGGCCUUUUUUUUUUUUUUCGUUCAGUGGACCUUUUUUCCUUUACUUUUUAUUUAAUUAACUUUUUUUUCGUUAUUGGGCAUUUUUUUUCUAUUCAAUGGACCUUUUUUCGUUCUUUUGCUGGCCAGACCAAUGCCCCUCUUAUGUAAAAAGUGUUAUAGAGACGAGUGGCGCCAAAUGACCAAUUAAGCAAUCAGUCCUAGUUAGGGGGAGGCGCGCCCCUGGUGGCCUCCGGUGUGGGGGAGAGUUUGUCAAGUGUGUAUAAUAACCACGUGUACCUCCGCAGGUGUGCCGCAGGUGUGCUUCACGUGUGUCGCACCUCAACAAUAUAACUCUGCUCUAGAACACACCUGUAGUAUUAUCAGCAGUCUGUCUGUAUGUAUGUAUGAAUGUGCGUCUGUCUCUCAGUAUUCCUUUACGUGUGUGUGUGUGUGUGUGUGUGUGAGUGAGCAAGAGGCGUCCCCACCAUGUCUGAAAGCGAGCAGUAGUAGUAGUAGUAGUAGUAGUAGCAGCAACAGUGGUGGUGGCAAUGGUGGUGGUAGUAAUAGCAGACUACCAAGGACUGGUGGUAGUAUUAGCAGUGGUGAUGGUGGUAGAGGAAAUAGUGUACUGUCACUACUUUGAUGGUGGUAGUCAUUGUAGCAGUGGUGGUUGUGGUAGUGGUAGUAGUAGUGGUGGUGGUGGGGGUGGUGGUGGUGGUGGCGGGAGAAACAAGUCCCCCUCUCUCUCUCUCUCUCUCUCUCUCUCUCUCUCUGGCAAUAGUAAAUGACAGUUUCGAAGCGCCAUCAAGUGUCUCGAACCGUGGCGUGGAGCUCUGGAUCUUUGUACUCCGCCUCUGAUUGGACCAGCUGAGAGAGAGAGAGAGAGAGAGAGGGGGGAGUGUUGGGUCCACCAGCACCACGCCCUUUCCUUCAGUAGCCUCAGUAUCUCCGUGGCUGUCAUUACGCGUGUUCCUCCGGCAGGAGCGGCGCGCCCUUGCUAGCUGUUCUCUUCGUCAGCGAGCGAGGACAGCAAACGUGGCGCCCUUGAGAUGAAGCAAGACCACCACCAACAUCACCAGGAAGGAAGAGGAGGGCGAAAACACUGGAACGGACACCACCACCACCACCACCACCAGAGUAAAGAAAGAGGAGGGCGAGGACCGAGGAAUGAACACCUAACACCAGUAAUAACAGGGAAAAGGGUCUUGAGAACUCGGCUAACCAUCUCUGUGGCCUUUGGAAAUGGUGAUGGUGGGAGCAAAGCGUCUCGGAAUACGGGCGUGCGUGGUGAAGCACCAAUGUAGAUCUGACGAGUGAACGCCUGUGUUGGGAAUUUAUGCGUGGAGGCGAGGACACCACCGGUAGCCGAGAGGACGAUCUGGAGGAGGAGGAGAACGAGAAUAGAACACUGACGCUGAAGACUGUGUGCCAUGUGCAGUGCCACCACCACUGUUGCCACAUGUCAAGAACCACCUGCCCCUGACCCUCACUGACCUGGGAGUCCUCGAGUAACUCUGGUCACAUCUCAUCACCCUUGACCUCAACACCAGUCACACAACUACUGAGCGCAAAAUUGUUGCUGAUGCUUCCUACUCUUUAAAUCUUCCCUCAUCCCCUGCUGAACUAACUAGUAUAUGUUAGCUAAGAGCAAGGAAGUGAGGCAGAGUGAGGACAAGAGUCUGCACUCUCUCAGCCUCUUAAGUACAAAAGACUGCAUCUUCACUGAGAGGAAAAGAUGGGAGCUUCUGAGGCAGAUUGAAGACAAGAGAAUAAUUUUGGGUGGCUAUGCUGGCAGACACAGCAGCCUGUCUGUGUUAUACCACCUACAAUGAGCUGGAGACCUGCACAUGAAACUCAAUCAGGAUACACACCAGGAACAUGUGCUGCUAAUGUGGAUGGAGACUCCCCAUCACCAGCCUGGACAGACGCAGCCACAAUGUGGAGACUACCCACCACCAGCCUGGACAGACGCAGCCACACUGAUGGACCAAACCCAGCACACCACCCCCACUCAGGCAUCUUGGAAUCCUCAUGGAAACAGUCUGGAAUUACCAUGAAUUACUACUUAUAUUGUCUUCAGUUUCUCCCAUGAGUGUGAGACUUGCUAGUAUAUGUAACAUUGGUCUGUAUACAAAAAUGCUUUAUUUUCACCACAUCUAAUCACAAAUGCCACACAGAUGAUUAAUCAGGUUCUAAAAAAGCAGGAACAAUGUAGAAAUCUUGUUAAUCUGUCAUUACAACCAUAAAAACCUAGAAAAACCUGUCACUUCAAUGGCACCAUUUUGAAAGCCCACAGAGAAUUAGCUGGGAUCUUGAGAGCACUUCUCCUGUUGGUGAUGUAGAAAUCUUAAUGUCUCUAGAACUGUAAAAUCCUUAAAAACCUGUAUCACUUCAAUUAGAGGGUAUGGAAAGCAGUGGAGAUGUAGCAUGGAAGUGUUUCAGAAUAUGGUCCUUAAAUUGACAAACUGAAUAAAUAAACAAAGGU